UACGGAAGGCAGCAGUGGGGAAUAUUGCACAAUGGGCGAAAGCCUGAUGCAGCUAUGCCGCGUGUAUGAAGAAGGCCUUAGGGUUGUAAAGUACUUUCAUCGGGGAGGAAAAAACAAAACUAAUAAUUUUAUUUCUUGACGUUACCCGAAAAAGAAGCACCGGCUAACUCCGUGCCAGCAGCCGCGGUAAUACGGAGGGUGCUAGCGUUAAUCAGAAUUACUGGGCGUAAAGAGCACGUAGGUGGUUUUUUAAGUCAGAUGUGAAAUCCCUGGGCUUAACCUAGGAACUGCAUUUUGAAACUGAAAUACUAGAGUAUCGUAGAGGGAGGUAGAAUUCUAGGUGUAGCGGUGAAAUGCGUAGAUAUCUGGAGGAUACCUGUGGCGAAAGCGGCCUCCUAAACGAAUACUGACACUGAGGUGCGAAAGCGUGGGGAGCGAAACAGGGAUUAGAUACC
rnacentral:rRNA from 1 species